rnacentral:rRNA from 1 species
AGUUCGAUUAUGGCUCAGAUUGAACGCUGGCGGAGUUUUUACACAUGCAAGUCGAACGGCAGCACGGACUUCGGUCUGGUGGCGAGUGGCGAACGGCAGUAAUGUAUCGGAACGUGCCUAGUAGCGGGGGAUAACUACGCGAAAGCGUAGCUAAUACCGCAUACGCCCUUCGGGGGAAAGCGGGGACCUUCGGGCCUCGCACUAUUAGAGCGGCCGAUAUCGGAUUAGCUAGUUGGUGGGGUAACGGCUCACCAAGGCGACGAUCCGUAGCUGGCUUCCUCGAGAGGACGACCAGCCACACUGGGACUGAGACACGGCCCAGACUCCUACGGGAGGCAGCAGUGGGGAAUUUUGGACAAUGGGGGAAACCCUGAUCCAGCCAUCCCGCGUGUGCGAUGAAGGCCUUCGGGUUGUAAAGCACUUUUGGCAGGAAAGAAACGGCACGGGAUAAUACCCGUGCAACUGACGGUACCUGCAGAAUAAGCACCGGCUAACUACGCCAGCAGCCGCGGUAAUACGUGGGGUGCAAGCGUUAAUCGGAAUUACUGGGCGUAAAGCGUGCGCAGGCGGUUCGGAAAGAAAGAUGUGAAAUCCCAGAGCUUAACUUUGGAACUGCAUUUUUAACUACCGAGCUAGAGUGUCAGAGGGAGGUGGAAUUCCGCGUAGCAGUGAAAUGCGUAGAUAUGCGGAGGAACACCGAUGGCGAAGGCAGCCUCCUGGGGAUAACACUGACGCUCAUGCACGAAAGCGUGGGGAGCAAACAGGGGAUUAGAUACCUCUGGUAGUCCACGUACUUAAACGAUGUCAACUAGCUGUUGGGGCCUUGGCCUUGGUAGCGCAGCUAACGCGUGAAGCUGACCGCCUGGGAGUACGGUCGCAAGAUUAAAACUCAAAGGAAUUGACGGGGACCCGCACAAGCGGUGGAUGAUGUGGACGAUCACCUGAUGCAAAACGCGAAACCUUACCUACCCUUGACAUGCCUGGAAUCCCGAAGAGAUUUGGGAGUGCUCGCAAGAGAACCGGAACACAGGUGCUGCAUGGCUGUCGUCAGCUCGUGUCGUGAGAUGUUGGGUUAAGUCCCGCAACGAGCGCAACCCUUGUCAUUAGUUGCUACGAAAGGGCACCCCAAUGAGACUGCCGGUGACAAACCGGAGGAAGGUGGGGAUGACGUCAAGUCCUCAUGGCCCUUAUGGGGUAGGGCUUCACACGUCAUACAAUGGUCGGGACAGAGGGUCGCCAACCCGCGAGGGGGAGCCAAUCCCAGAAACCCGAUCGUAGUCCGGAUCGCAGUCUGCAACUCGACUGCGUGAAGUCGGAAUCGCUAGUAAUCGCGUGGAUCAGCAUGUCGCGGUGAAUACGUUCCCGGGUCUUGUACACACCCGCCUGUCACACCAUGGGAGUGGGUUUUACCAGAAGUAGUUAGCCUAACCGUAAGGAGGGCGAUUACCACGGUAGGAUUCAUGACUGGGGUGAAGUCGUAACAAGGUAA